rnacentral:lncRNA from 1 species
CAGGCUUGGAUGGGCUUAAUCCCCAAAUUUUUUCCUCCAAAAAUAUUUGUAAAGAAAUCAAAAUACAAGAUGAAAAUUUCAACACAAAAGAAAAACUAAAAUAUAACUCUUUUAAAAUGUGGAGAAGGAACUAAAUGAUUGAUCUUUCAAAGCUUAAUCUUCUCUUCUUUGAAGUUUGAGAAGAUGUAGAAAUGAUGAAGAUGAAUACUCUUAAAAGUCUACUGAAAUCUGUGCUCAAAUUCCUUUCUUUUUUCUUUCUUUUUGGAUAUUCAAUGUUCCUCACAAAAGUAAAUGAUUCUCUCUUUAAAUCUACUUUAUCUUCCUUCCCAAAUGAUUCUCUAGCUAUUUAUAAUCUUGAAAGAGGCUAGAGAAUGAGUUUUGACCAUUGGAGUCUUUAAAAUAGCUGUUAGGGAUAAAAACUAGCUGUUGAGUAAUUAGAGGGCAAAAAGCUGCAGUUCUAAAAAAUUAGUCGUUACAGUCACUGGGUCAACUCAACUUUUCUUUGAAUCAGCUCAGUUACUAUUCCCUAUAGCCACUGGAUCGACUCAACUUUUCUCUAGAUCAACUCAAUUACUAUUAUCAGAAAAUUCAGCCUUCUAUCUUUUGCUGUCUUCUGAGACUGGGUCGACUCAGACUUCCACUAGAUUGACUCAGCUAGCAUGCUAAGUAUGCCAACAUGCUGGAGUUGACUCAAAACCUUCCAAAGUCUACUCAAAAUCUUCUAAUAUUAUUUUUCUUCAAUUUUUGACCUUUCAAACUUAAAUUUUUUGACCCCGAUCUUAUCUAAAUAUAUUUGCUUCCUUCAAUUUUAUUUUUUUUUCUUCCAAUAUUACUUUCUUCAUACCAAGCCAUCCAAACUUAUAUAAUUUUUUUUUUAAAUGCUUUAGCAUGGUAUCUUGAGAGGAUUUAUCUUUAAGAUAAAUUCUUCAUUUUGAAUGCUUGAAAAAUCCUACAUCCAAUCUUGAAAUACAUGAUUAGAAUCAUAAUUACUCAAAGUUUGGCAAUCAUCAAAAUUAAUCAUGGGAUCAACAAUCUCUCCCUUUUUUAUGAUGAUAAAAUUUUGAGUAUAUACAUAAAAAUAAAUAUAAUAUAUUUUAAUUAAUUUGCUAAUAUAAACAUGAAGUAAUAGAAUAAACAUAUAUGAGUAUAG